rnacentral:rRNA from 1 species
UGGGGAAUAUUGGACAAUGGGCGCAAGCCUGAUCCAGCCAUGCCGCGUGUGUGAAGAAGGCCUUUUGGUUGUAAAGCACUUUGAGCGAGGAGGAGGCUACUUGGAUUAAUACUCUAGGAUAGUGGACGUUACUCGCAGAAUAAGCACCGGCUAACUCUGUGCCAGCAGCCGCGGUAAUACAGAGGGUGCGAGCGUUAAUCGGAUUUACUGGGCGUAAAGCGUGCGUAGGCGGCUUCUUAAGUCGGAUGUGAAAUCCCUGAGCUUAACUUAGGAAUUGCAUUCGAUACUGGGAAGCUAGAGUAUGGGAGAGGAUGGUAGAAUUCCAGGUGUAGCGGUGAAAUGCGUAGAGAUCUGGAGGAAUACCGAUGGCGAAGGCAGCCAUCUGGCCUAAUACUGACGCUGAGGUACGAAAGCAUGGGGAGCAAACAGG